AAAAAAAUCCAAUAAGACAGACUUUAAAAAGUUGUUAAAAUUACCUUCAUAUUUUGUCUUAGAAUCCUCUUGCUUUGGUAGUUUAUUGACACAGUGAGGAAUUUCACGAUUUAUUUCAGUUGAUUUUUCUUUACGAUCCAUGUUUCCUGUUGCCUUUUUACCCUAUGAUUUAGAAAAGCAGCAAAAACACAUUUUGGGGGGUCUAGAUAACUUUAAAUUGCAUUUUAGUCUAACGAUUACAAAUACUUUUCACAUAGAACAAGUGACUGUAGCCUAAUUUAUUUUUGUUAAGACAUGUUUAAUUAGACACUGCAAGAUUCCAAGUUUGCUGUACCUUAGUUGUCAAAGGUGGAACAUCUGAUUUUUGGGUUCCCUGGUGUCUCAUACUUGUGAAUGGCAAACUUUUUCUGUCUGCUUGGACUGAUUUUGUUGAAGAAACUAUAGAACAGGUAGAUUAUAUGUAAGAAACAUAUUUUACAUUUGGAUGCAAUAUUGAUUUUACAUAUAAAAUAACAUUAAUGCAAUGUAAUAAUAAAGUAGACUAAGUAUACUAAGUAUUUUCUAAAUAUUCUGUAUAUAUAUAGCAUUUGCUAAAUUUCCUGUUUUUCCCUUCAGGGCCCUUGCUUUGUCUUACUUUGGGCCCCACAGUGUUAGAGUACAAAACAAGUAGGUGUUAGGAUAAGACAGUGUUGCUGUUGGAGGACAAGGCUGUCCUUUGUGGAUGGGAUUCAACAAGGUAGACGUGUAAUUGUGAGAGGCCAGGCCACCGAGCCAUCCUGUGGCAGAGCUCUUGAUUAUCAGUGGUUAGACUGUCUGUGCUAAAGCACAUGACCGCUAAGUCUAGACUGCACUUGCCCUGAAAAGUGAAGGAAAUUAUAUCUUUUAAACACCCCCUUGGUUGAUUCAUCGUCUCUAUUAUUCUAGAUUAUAAGCCAGAAGCAAACAAAGGCAGGCAAGGAAAUUUGAGGUUGUUGCAUCUGGAAGUAAACAUGUAGCUACUUCUUCUAAUAAAACAGGGCUGAGUAUUCCUAUGCUACGUCUGAGUCGAAUCUGUUGCUGGGAGAUCUUGGGGGGAAGUGCAUGUGGUCUUGAAGGAAAGAAGACUCUUCACCAAUGAGAGGUAUACACUAAUGAUAGUGGCAUCAGUAGAGACGAAUCUCAAAAACAUGAUGCUGAACAAAAGAAGCCAGAUACAAAAGAGUUCAUGCUGUGGGAGUCUACUUACGCGAAGUUCUAGAACAGACAAACUAAGCUAUUGUGACCAAAGGAAAGUCAGUGGUUGCUGGGUGAGGUAGGGGACUACUGACUGCAGGGACACGAGGAAGCUUCCUGGGGAGGUGGAAAUAUUCCAUAUCUUGAUUAGGGUGGUGGCUCCAUCGGUAUAAGCAUCUGUCAAAACCCACUGAGCUGCGUACACACUUAAAAUGGAUGCAUUUUAUUGAGGAUGCCAUCUCCACUGAGACAGAAGACAGGGAUGAGGAAAAAGUCUGCAAGUCUACGAGACAACCUAGCAUAAGACUGGAGUUAGAAGAGACUGUGAUGAGCUUGUAUCCAUUUCUCCUUGUCCAACUGCCACCCUCAUCCCUAAUUUGUGGGACCGGGGCUCAGAAGGAAGUAUGGCUCAGUUACAGAAAAUAAAGAACAUGACAUAUUUUUGUACCUGAA